UUGACUUUGUCCUAGCUAGAGGCACUGUCCAAAGGUGGUGGAAUGCUCAAAGGAUGUGGAUGAUAAGGGCGCUUUCAUGUUACUUGUUCAGUUCAGUUGAGUACCUGCUCAAGUCCUUAAGGAUUUCCACUCAUGCUUUUAGCCUAACAAGCAAGGUGCUUGAUGAUGAACAAAGUAAGAGAUAUGGCCAAGGCAUCUUUGAGUUCGGAGUCCCCUCCCCCUUGUUUGUGCCAUUGACAAUGGCAGCAAUAAUCAACUUAUUCUCAUUCGCAUGGGGAUUGACCGAGUUUUGGGAUAAUGGCAACAAAGAAGGCCUCGCUUUGCAGAUGGUAUUAGCAGGAUUCAUUGUUUUGAAUUGCUUGCCAAUUUAUGGAGCCAUUGCCUUGAGGAGUGACAAAGGAAAAAUGCCCACCCAAAUUAUAGUCAUUUCAACAUUUCUGUCUGUGGCUCUUUAUACUUUCGCUUAUCUCAUUCUCAAGCAAUAACUCUAAUUAGGCAAGCUUUUUCUUUUUUUUUUCUUUUUUGAAUCAAAUAAUUAGAAUCCUUGCUUUAUAUUUCUCCUCUAAUGUUUGCUUUAUAUACAAUAUUUUAAAAAAAAGAUUGAAGGUAAUCAUAUAUCUAGUUGCUCACUUCCUGUCUUUCACUUUCAUCUUGCUUUCAUUUGCUAGUAACCCCAAAAAGUAUGAUCUGUCUCUUAUUUCUCAUCAUUAAUGUUUGGCUUCGCCUUGAGAUAUACAACCAUUGAUCAGUGCAAAUUGCAAAGCGGUUCACAUGGACACAUUUUUGAGACACUCUAUUUCGUUUUCAUUUCCCAGUAAUCAUUUAGGUGAAAUAUAUCUCAUCAAUUUAGAAAGUCAGCAGAGCAGAUAUCAUUGAUAUAUUAAAUCAAUUACAGAAAUUUGUGAAAAAUAUCAUUUUCAUAACUUGAUUUUAAAAAUAAUCAUUAAAAUAAAAUUAAUUAUUUUCUCUUUGCUUUCACACAUAUAAAGUGUAAUAUGCUGAAUAAAAUCAAUUAGUACAGUUAUUCAGACAAAGAAACCUUUAUAAAUCAGCCCUUCAUACCCACUAACUUUAUCAUGCUAUCAUUUCAGUGGACAACCUUUGUUUUAGUCAAUUCAACACUCCAAUUAAAGAUUAGGAUUUGUCUUAAACUUGACGCCUAAGCCAUAUGUAUCUAGACAAUUAAUGAACCUGUGCAUGAAUCCAAAGAAACCUGAAGUAAAGCGGUAACAAUGUUGGUCAUCAUUUCAACUAUACAAGAAAUAAAUAACAAGGCACAUCUUUCAAAGCUUUUUAUUCUAACUUAAUUUCUUAAAGAACCAAAGAGAUGGAACUUAAUCACAAGGCUUCUUCUGUGCUUGCAUAGGUCAAGUCCCAUAUGUCAUACAUUUGUUGUUUUGGCUUACAUACAUAAAUAAAUAAAUAAAUAUAUAUUGCUUUAUAUAUUUAUUAAUUAGGCUUUGCGGCUGUAUGUUCCUAUAAGCUUUUUUUUGGUGUUUUUUGAUAAUUGCCACAAUCAUUUAUAAAGUUACAAUUAUGGAUAAGCAAAAUUACUACAUAUCCACUUGCUCUUGGUAUGCUAAAAUCAAUUCAUCAGCAAUUUUAUCCUAUUUAGAAACAUUCGAGUGAUGUUCAAAGUAAGAGAUGCUUCAGGAUAAUACCACUUCUAAUACUAAUCUUAUUGUAGAUGAUGUACGAGAUUAUGAAAGUGAAGGUAGAAUACAUUGUUGAUAAAGGGGAAAUUAGUGAUGAAUACAUUGUAGACAAUGCAUAUAGAGAAGCUUGUAGUAAAUGGACUGACGGGUUUACUCGUAUGGAUCAUCCUACUGUCGCUCAAGUGAUUUACGUUAAAGAUUAGAGCUAAAAUCAAUCAUAAAUUAAAUUAUUCAGGAGAAAUAAAAGUAUUAGCUAGUACCUACUUUGACAAGGUCAAUUUACUGGUGCCACAUGAACUGUGAGUAGGUUAUCUUAGAUAAGAGCAAAGACAAAUAUGUUUCAGGCAAUUUCUUGCCAAAUCUCAUUUAUGUCUCACGACAGAAAAGCAAGACUUCUCCUCACCACUUCAAAGCUGGAGCUCUAAAUGUUCUGGUAUGGGUUAGAUGAUCUAACGACUUAUUCUGGUAUCUUAUCCAAUUGAUUAGUUUUUAUAUUAUGCUUUCUAAUUCUCUCUUAAAAUUUGGAAUGUUUGGUAGUUACGAGUAUCAGCUGUUAUGACCAAUGCGCCAUUAAUCUUGACCCAAGACUGUGACAUGUACUCGAAUGAUCCUCAAACUCCUAUCCAGGUGUUAUGUUAUCUAUUAAACCCUGCACUUCAAUCAAAAUUGGCAUACAUUCAAUUUCCACAACGAUUUCAUGGCCUCAACCAAACUGACAUCUAUGUUUUUGAGUAUAAACACUUGUUCCAAAUUAAUCCUAUGGGUUUUGAUGGGAUAAUGGGUUCAAAUUAUGUGGGAUCCGGCUGCUUCUUUUGUCGACGAGCUUUCUUCGGUGGCCCAUCAACUUUGGUGCCGACGAAAAUCCCUGAACUCAGCCCAGACCAUGUGGUAGACAAGCCCAUUAAUUCUCAAAAAAAAUUUUCAUUGGCACACAAUGUAGCAAAUUGCUACUAUGAGAACCAAACUGAACAUUAGGGCUCCAAGGUAAGCUCAUCAAUCACUCUCCAGAACAAUGUCUAUCAAAAAGCUUUAAAUUACAACCAAUACGUUAAGAUUGUUUCUUAAUAUGUAUGCAAAAUGGGUUUAGAUAUGGAUCUUUGGUUGAAGACUUUUACACAGGAUAUGGACUUCAGUGUGAAGGAUGGAAGAGCUUAUUCUGUCAUCCUGAGAGGGCAGCAUUUUUAGGGGAUGUGCCAAUUACCCUUUUAGAUUUACUUAGUCAAUGCAAGAGAUGGUGCAUCAGCCUUUUAGAAGUGACCUUCUCCAAAUAUAACACUCUCAUCUUCGGUUCUCGUUCUAUGGGCAUUGUGAUGGGAUUAGCUUAUUCUCACUAUGCAUUCUGGCCUAUUAUUCUUCUUAAUUUUGUUAUGAUUUAUUAGUUUUUAUAUUUCUUUUGUAAGAUUAAAAGUGAUUGGGCUUAAUUUUGAAAAGUAAGAUGUUAAAAGAUCUAGAAUCUGCUUGCAUAUGCUUCAGUAUUUUGGCCAUAUCUUGAGUUACAGAACUCCAAAUGAUACAAUUCAUGGAUCAGUGGAAACCUAAGAGACAAAGAUACAACUUUCAUGAAGAUCACUUUGCCCAGUUCUGCUUUGAAGAUAGAGAAAAUUGCAUCUGAAAAUAUAUAGACGUACUGCACCGGGAAUGAAAAUUUGUAAAGAUUGACAAUUGAAUUUUGGGCCUCUUAUUAUACUUUUAAGCCCAAUUAAACCCUAGGACAGCUUAAGGAACUUUAGGUUAAGUUUAUUAGUAUAAAUAAGAUUUGUUUAAUAACAUUAGGGGAACUUUUGAGAGAUUCAAGAAACUGAAAGUUAAGGUUGAAACUUAGAGAUCAAGACGACAAAUAUUGUUUUGUUUUAUUCUUUAGCUUUUAUCGUUCUUGAUAUUUUCAAUGGUUGAAUUUUAUACAAUGUUAUUUUAUUUUGCGAUUAUGAGUAGCUAAAUUUCUUUUUCUAAGAUUGCAAUUGAACUUACAUGUAGUCUAAAAUUUUUAAUCUCUAUCUUAUUUAUUUUAAUGGGAUUUGAAUUGUUUAUUCCAAUUUGUUCUUAAUGCUUUUAAUUGCUUGGUCACCAAUUAAAUUGAUUUAGGAACCUAAACAAACUUGGAAAAGGGAGUUUAGAGUAGACUAAAAUUGGGAUAGCAUAUGAUCAUAUUAAUUAAUUUGCAUAUAGGAUAGGGAUAUACUUAUAGGCUAUAUGUAGCCAGAUUAGAACCUGAACUUAAUGAGUCUGUUUUAAUUUUAAUUCACAUAGGGAUAUAAUAUUUUGAUUAAAAUAUAUAUUUUUAUAGGACGAGUCGGGAGACCCUUAUAAAUAAUUGAGGACUCUAGGUUAGCAAUUCAACCCGUUGAAAUAAGUUAAGGAAGAGAGGUAAGAUUUAGAUAAAGUGUGAGAGAUAUUGUAAUCCUAGGCUUGUUUGAUUUGAUAUUGUCUAAAAUUAUUAUUAUUUUGAUUUUUCUUGUUGGUUUUACUUUUAGUUAAUUAGUUUUAGUUAAUUAAUUAAUUUUGAUUAUUUUGAUAAGAUUAAAUUGUUCUAAUUUUAGUACUUAGUAAAGUUUUAAAUCAAUUCUCUGUGGGAUCGAUACUCUGCUUGCUAAUAUACUAUCUAUUCAAUACGUAUACUUGCAUAGUAGGAUUUUAACUGACAAUUGGUGCAUCCCGAUCACCUAUUAUUCUUUCCUCCCCCAGCUAGCUCUGCUCAACAAAGUCAGCAUCUUCCCAAAGGUAUGAGCAUUGAUGAACUGUACAUGAUUAUUUAUUUGAAUUCAAUCUAUUCACUGAAGCCAGAAAUGAAAGAAAGAAAAAAUUCGUUUUGUCGGUAUCAGAACCAUGGUGUUUCUUAUAUGUUUUUCUUUUCCUCGACGCUUAUGGACAAGAUUUUCUUGACUUUGUCCUAGCUAGAGCCACUGUCCGAAGGUGGUGGAAUGCUUAAAGGAUGUGGAUGAUAAGGGGGGUUUCAUGUUUCUUGUUCAGUUCAAUUGAGUACCUGCUCAAGUCUUAAGGGAUUUCCACUCAUGGUUUUAGCCUAACAAGCAAGGUGCUUGAUGAUGAACAAAGCAAGAGAUACGACCAAGGCAUUUUUGAGUUCAGAGUCCCUUCCCCCUUAUUUGUGCCAUUGACAAUGGCAGUAAUAAUCAACUUAUUCUCAUUCGCAUGGGAACUGACAGAGUUUUGGGGUAAUGGCAGCAACAAGGAAGGCCUCACUUUCCAGAUGGUAUUAGCAGGGUUCAUUGUUUUGAAUUGCUUGCCAAUUUAUGGAGCCAUUGCCUUGAGGAGUGACAAAGGAAAAAUGCCCACCCAAAUUACAGUCAUCUCAACAUUUCU
rnacentral:lncRNA from 1 species